AGAGUUUGAUUAUGGCUCAGAUUGAACGCUGGCGGAAUGCUUUACACAUGCAAGUCGAACGGCAGCACGGGAGCUUGCUCCUGGUGGCGAGUGGCGAACGGGUGAGUAAUGCGUCGGAACGUACCGAGUAAUGGGGGAUAACGCAGCGAAAGCUGUGCUAAUACCGCAUACGCCCUGAGGGGGAAAGUGGGGGAUCGCAAGACCUCACGUUAUUCGAGCGGCCGACGUCUGAUUAGCUAGUUGGUGGGGUAAAGGCUCACCAAGGCGACGAUCAGUAGCGGGUCUGAGAGGAUGAUCCGUCACACUGGAACUGAGACACGGUCCAGACUCCUACGGGAGGCAGCAGUGGGGAAUUUUGGACAAUGGGGGCAACCCUGAUCCAGCCAUUCCGCGUGAGUGAAGAAGGCCUUCGGGUUGUAAAGCUCUUUCAGCCGGAACGAAACGGUACGCACUAAUAUUGUGUGCUAAUGACGGUACCGGCAGAAGAAGCACCGGCUAACUACGUGCCAGCAGCCGCGGUAAUACGUAGGGUGCGAGCGUUAAUCGGAAUUACUGGGCGUAAAGCGUGCGCAGGCGGAUUGUUAAGCAAGAUGUGAAAUCCCCGGGCUUAACCUGGGAAUGGCAUUUUGAACUGGCAGUCUAGAGUGUGUCAGAGGGGGGGUGGAAUUCCACGUGUAGCAGUGAAAUGCGUAGAUAUGUGGAGGAACACCAAUGGCGAAGGCAGCCCCCUGGGAUAACACUGACGCUCAUGUACGAAAGCGUGGGUAGCAAACAGGAUUAGAUACCCUGGUAGUCCACGCCCUAAACGAUGUCAACUGGUUGUUGGGGGGAGUGAAAUCCCUUAGUAACGAAGCUAACGCGUGAAGUUGACCGCCUGGGGAGUACGGUCGCAAGAUUAAAACUCAAAUGAAUUGACGG
rnacentral:rRNA from 1 species